GCCAGCAGCUGUGUCACCCUGUAACUCACUGCUGGCAGCCCACUGGAGCUCAGCAGGUGUGAGCCUGGACAGUACCUGGAUGGGAGACCUCCUGGGAAAGCUAAGGUUGCUGCUGGAA
rnacentral:rRNA from 1 species